rnacentral:sRNA from 1 species
AAACCCAAUGUACUUUCAAACUCCAAUU